rnacentral:rRNA from 1 species
GAUGCGUUGUUGGGUAGGGGAGCGUUCUGUAAGCCUGUGAAGGUGUGCUGUGAGGCAUGCUGGAGGUAUCAGAAGUGCGAAUGCUGACAUAAGUAACGAUAAAGCGGGUGAAAAGCCCGCUCGCCGGAAGACCAAGGGUUCCUGUCCAACGUUAAUCGGGGCAGGGUGAGUCGACCCCUAAGGCGAGGCCGAAAGGCGUAGUCGAUGGGAAACAGGUUAAUAUUCCUGUACUUGGUGUUACUGCGAAGGGGGGACGGAGAAGGCUAUGUUGGCCGGGCGACGGUUGUCCCGGUUUAAGCGUGUAGGCUGGUUUUCCAGGCAAAUCCGGAAAACUAAGGCUGAGGCGUGAUGACGAGGCACUACGGUGCUGAAGCAACAAAUGCCCUGCUUCCAGGAAAAGCCUCUAAGCAUCAGGUAACAUCAAAUCGUACCCCAAACCGACACAGGUGGUCAGGUAGAGAAUACCAAGGCGCUUGAGAGAACUCGGGUGAAGGAACUAGGCAAAAUGGUGCCGUAACUUCGGGAGAAGGCACGCUGAUAUGUAGGUGAAGUCCCUCGCGGAUGGAGCUGAAAUCAGUCGAAGAUACCAGCUGGCUGCAACUGUUUAUUAAAAACACAGCACUGUGCAAACACGAAAGUGGACGUAUACGGUGUGACGCCUGCCCGGUGCCGGAAGGUUAAUUGAUGGGGUCAGCGCAAGCGAAGCUCUUGAUCGAAGCCCCGGUAAACGGCGGCCGUAACUAUAACGGUCCUAAGGUAGCGAAAUUCCUUGUCGGGUAAGUUCCGACCUGCACGAAUGGCGUAAUGAUGGCCAGGCUGUCUCCACCCGAGACUCAGUGAAAUUGAACUCGCUGUGAAGAUGCAGUGUACCCGCGGCAAGACGGAAAGACCCCGUGAACCUUUACUAUAGCUUGACACUGAACAUUGAGCCUUGAUGUGUAGGAUAGGUGGGAGGCUUUGAAGUGUGGACGCCAGUCUGCAUGGAGCCGACCUUGAAAUACCACCCUUUAAUGUUUGAUGUUCUAACGUUGACCCGUAAUCCGGGUUGCGGACAGUGUCUGGUGGGUAGUUUGACUGGGGCGGUCUCCUCCUAAAGAGUAACGGAGGAGCACGAAGGUUGGCUAAUCCUGGUCGGACAUCAGGAGGUUAGUGCAAUGGCAUAAGCCAGCUUGACUGCGAGCGUGACGGCGCGAGCAGGUGCGAAAGCAGGUCAUAGUGAUCCGGUGGUUCUGAAUGGAAGGGCCAUCGCUCAACGGAUAAAAGGUACUCCGGGGAUAACAGGCUGAUACCGCCCAAGAGUUCAUAUCGACGGCGGUGUUUGGCACCUCGAUGUCGGCUCAUCACAUCCUGGGGCUGAAGUAGGUCCCAAGGGUAUGGCUGUUCGCCAUUUAAAGUGGUACGCGAGCUGGGUUUAGAACGUCGUGAGACAGUUCGGUCCCUAUCUGCCGUGGGCGCUGGAGAACUGAGGGGGGCUGCUCCUAGUACGAGAGGACCGGAGUGGACGCAUCACUGGUGUUCGGGUUGUCAUGCCAAUGGCACUGCCCGGUAGCUAAAUGCGGAAGAGAUAAGUGCUGAAAGCAUCUAAGCACGAAACUUGCCCCGAGAUGAGUUCUCCCUGACUCCUUGAGAGUCCUGAAGGAACGUUGAAG